rnacentral:lncRNA from 1 species
ACAACAUUGCCAAUGACACAAUUGUUGAGGUUUACACUGUUGUGUGAUUACCUUCUAAUUAUUGCAAACCACAAGAUAUGGAUUUCAGAUUAUUUUUGCAUCAUGAUUACAACAUUACCUUAGUGAUUCUUAAUUUACAAUCAUGUAAAUUAAUGAAACAUUUGGUUAACUUUGCAUCUCAUGGGCUAUUGGUAGCAAUGAGUGAGCCUGUAGAGGGGGAUCCUCUGCUCC